rnacentral:rRNA from 1 species
GACGAACGCUGGCGGCGUGCUUAACACAUGCAAGUCGAACGGUAAGGCCCUUCGGGGUACACGAGUGGCGAACGGGUGAGUAACACGUGGGUGAUCUGCCCUGCACUUCGGGAUAAGCCUGGGAAACUGGGUCUAAUACCGGAUAGGACCCUGGGAUGCAUGUCCUGGGGUGGAAAGCUUUUGCGGUGUGGGAUGGGCCCGCGGCCUAUAAGCUUGUUGGUGGGGUGAUGGCCUACCAAGGCAACGACGGGGAGCCGGCCUGAGAGGGUGACCGGCCACACGGGGACUGGGAUACGGCCCAGACUCCUGCGGGAGGCAGCAGUGGGGAAUAUUGCACAAUGGGCGCAAGCCUGAUGCAGCGACGCCGCGUGAGGGAGGACGGCCUUCGGGUUUUAAGCCGCUUGCAGCACCGACGAAGCGCAAGUGACGGUAGGUGCAGAAGAAGGACCGGCCAACUACGGGCCAGCCGCCGCAGUAA